UUUGUACGACGGCUCAAUGACUUUGUAUCACUGUGGAACACGUUCGGUGGAGGAACCAGACUGGAUGUUGGAAGUGAUGUCCGUCCCACCCUGACGGUGCUGCCCCCCUCCGACGAGGAGCUGCAGCAGGGGAAGGCCACGCUCAUGUGCCUGGCCAACAAGGGCUUCCCCUCAGGCUGGAGUCUGGCCUGGAAGGUGGACGGCAGCAGCAGCAGCUUGGAUCAGAGCAGGAGCCCCGGGGUGCUGGGGAAGGACGGCACCUACAGCUGGAGCAGCACCCUGAGGCUCACUGCAGACCAGUGGACGAAGGCGGGCUCUGUGACCUGUGAGGCCACCCAGGGCUCCCAGACUCCGGUCUCAGAGACACUGAGGACAGACCAGUGUUCCCAGUCCUGACCUGACUCUCUGAGACUCUGCUACUGGUUUUACUCUGCUCCUGCUCUCAGUCUCCACUCUCACUGUGUCUUUCUGUCUCUUUCUCUCACUCAGUCUCUGAUUCUACGUUUCAUCAAUGAGGUUUUGUUGCUUGUUGUAAUCUUUCAUUUUUUCAGUACAAUAAAGUCCUGUUCAUCACA